CGCGCUCACCACCCGCAGAAACACAGUAAUCGGAUCACACACACACACACACACACAGAUCAGCAGCUCUCCACACAUCUCCCGGACUCACCUCGAGGCGUGCGCGGUCAGAGACGCAGGGGGACGCGGAUGAUGAAGCCCAUGGAGGAGAAGAUGGAGGUUCCUCAGGAGACUGUGAUUCCCGACUGAGAGACUUUCUGAGGGAUUCUCCGAGACUCUGAUGCUGAUUUCUCGAGUGUUUCUCAGCAUGGUCACGGACAGUCAGCGACACCUGCUGGACAUGCGCUGCAUUCAUCAGUCACACACUCUCUCUGGCUCUGGGCUCUCUGAGGAUGAAGAGAUCACAGCAACAUCCGGGACAGAUGAGGCGAUACGAGCAGCUGGAGUGAUGGAGGGUCACUAGAUCAUCUCCAGGCUCUCCAUCCUGACAUUUCAGAUCCUUCAAAAAAGCACAAACAUAAUACAAAAGCAGUCAUUUUAAUAGCACACUUUCAUUGAUUUCUGUAGUAAAGUAUGAUCUUACUUUAUAGUUUUGCUUCAGGUUUUCCCCUUUUUCCCCCCAAAAAUGCCGCCGCCACCCUGCCUCAUCCGUCCCUGUAACAUCCAGACAAGAUUCACGUUUCCUCUGUGAUUCAUGUGCUCAAUACUUACAUUUACAUGCUUUUAUCAAACACAAAUGUUUCUCAAUGUAUCAGCAGUAUUAAUGAACAAAUAAAUUAGAUAACUUACGUAGAUUUGUUUGCAUUACUUAUCUAAUGUAAGCAGCGUUGACAACAGUGAAUUCUGCUUUACAGCACACACACAUCACUCACUCAGAUGUCUGUUUCAUGUUGUGAUGUGCUCAUCAUCUGCAAUACUUCUCGAAGAUGUUAAAUAGACAUUUAGGAAGCAUCUUUAAGAUGUAUAUGGUUUAUGUAAAUCUACUUUGGAGACGUAUGUGCUCACUGGAGCUCCCCUGUUAGCUAUAAAUAAAAUGUUUUUACAGCAAAAUCACAACUAUACUAUCUAGCGUCUUUACACCUUCAACAAUUAAACCGUUUACUCUACAAAAAUGCAAUGCAUGAUUUGUGUUCAGUAACUCAUAAAUCUGUCACCAUUCUAUUGCCAAGAUAUAAAAAAAGAUCUCAGAAAGUUUAUAAACGCAUUAUUUUGCAUAGUUCUUUAAAUGUUCAGUGACAUUUGUAAAGUGUUUUUAUGUAGUUUUAUAUUGUUGUGUAACUAUUUAUGUUAUGUCAAUGAUAAUGGCCAAGCCAAUUAUUAGGCCAAUAAACAAGUACUAUUGUA